UACGUAGGGUGCGAGCGUUGUCCGGAAUUAUUGGGCGUAAAGGGCUCGUAGGCGGUCUGUCGCGUCGGUAGUGAAAACUCAGGGCUUAACCCUGAGCCUGCUUCCGAUACGGGCAGACUAGAGGUAUGCAGGGGAGAAUGGAAUUCCUGGUGUAGCGGUGAAAUACGCAGAUAUCAGGAGGAACACCGGUGGCGAAGGCGGUUCUCUGGGCAUUACCUGACGCUGAGGAGCGAAAGUGUGGGGAGCGAACAGG
rnacentral:rRNA from 1 species